CGAGUCCGUCAUGUCCACCAGUGAGGAGGCGGGGCUUCCAGAUCCGGCAACAGCGGCCUCCUCGCUGGUGGAUUGUCGGUUGCC
rnacentral:pre_miRNA from 6 species